GUUUUAAUAAUUUAAUAAAAAUACUGGUCUUGUAAAUCAGAAAUAAGGGUUACCUUUUAAAACA
rnacentral:tRNA from 1 species